rnacentral:misc_RNA from 1 species
UCCAACUUAUCGCUGGCGGUCUCCUGCGAGUUCCCAACUGAAUGAUGGCAACACAGGACAAGGGUUGCGCUCGUUGCGGGACUUAACCCAACAUCUCACGACACGAGCUGACGACAGCCAUGCACCACCUGUUUUUGUGUCUCCGAAGAGAGGAUUCUAUCUCUAGAACUUUCACUCAAUGUCAAGUCCUGGUAAGGUUCUUCGCGUUGCGUCGAAUUAAACCACAUGCUCCACCGCUUGUGCGGGCCCCCGUCAAUUCCUUUGAGUUUCAACCUUGCGGUCGUACUCCCCAGGCGGGGUACUUCCUGCGUUAGCGCCGGCACCCAGAGGGUCGCUCCCCCAGGCACCUAGUACCCAUCGUUUACGGCGUGGACUAC